rnacentral:lncRNA from 1 species
AGCAGUUCUCUUGCCUCAGCCUCCCAAGUAACUGGUACUACAGUUUGUCCUCGGCUGUUACAGAGAAUUGAUACAAAAAAUGAUCAUGUGAAGAAUUUGCAUCUUCUGCAGAACUACCGGUAUCAGUCAGCAGUAGGAGAUUGUAUAAAUUCAGCCUGAGAUUCCAGAAUAUUCUGUGUAUUGACCACCACAGCAAGAAGAAAAAGUCCAUGUAGGACUGAAAUGAGGAAGAAUGAGAAGGAGUUGAUUUCUGCUGAAUCCAGGAGAAAGAGCUUUCCUCACUACUAACAAGACAGAGGUGUUGAACGAGAAAUGGAAACUCAUUUCCCCCCUCAGUUUUUUUCUUUCUUGCGUACUUUUCCAAUGCCACUUCCAAAUUCAUAGUGAAUAGCAUGAUUAGGAGGUUUUCACAUGGCCCUCUCUGUUUUUUAUUCCUCUAAAUGAUUUUUAAAGUUGUCCAAGGUGAAAACUUUUGUGUGCUUUAUUAGAAAACAUUAAUUACUUACCAAGACACUGUGCUAAGUAGCUUUCCACACAUGACCUCAUUUAAUCCUCAAAAGAACUCUGUGAAUUAGGUUAUCAUGACUACCUCCAAUUUACACAGCCCGGAAGUGUGGGAGCUGGAAUUAAAACAGAGGCAUAUCACCUAGGACUUCAGGGCCCAUGCUCUCUACCACCUCCCAGUUCAUUGAGAGUGAGGAUAAACCUAACUGAUGAGCCUGCUGUGGGGGUCUGGAUUCAUGGUAUAGUGCCUCCCCCACCCCCGAUCCCCCACCUAGCCAAGGUUUUAUUGUGGAAACCAAGGUGAACAGAAAAGGCUGAUCAGAAUGGUCAGAGCCAGACAACCCCACAGAAGUGCAGCACGUUGAUUUCUGACUAUUUAUACAACCCCAUAGGACACUCCCCAUUCACUGAGGCUGGCUGGUGGGAGACAACUCUUAAGUGUAAGAGAAAGAUGCACGUUGGCUAGCAGGGAGCACUUCAUCAUCAUGAUGGAAGGAAGACCACUCAUUAACUUGUUGGACUUGUGGACCACUUCUUGCCUCAUGUUGACCAAAACCAUGUGAAUAGGUUUUUAGCUGUAGCUGCUCCUUAGCCCUCAGAG